AUUGAACGCUGGCGGCAGGCUUAACACAUGCAAGUCGAACGAGUUGCGUACGGGUGGGUAAUGCUUGGGAAUCUGUCUUAUGGAGGGCGAUAACGACGGGAAACUGAUGCUAAUACCGCGUACCAUAGGAUGAGCCCAAGUGGGAUUUGGUAGGUGGUGGGGUAAUGGCCUACCAAGCCGCCGAUCUCUAGCUGGUCUGAGAGGAUGACCAGCAACACCGGGACUGAGACACGGCCCGGACUACUACGGGAGGCAGCAGUGGGGAAUAUUGCGCAAUGGGAGCAACCUGAGCCAGCCAUGCCGCGUGAGGGAAGAAGGCCUUCGGGUUGUAAAGUUCUUUCGGUGACGAGGCGUUAAUCACAGAAGAAGCACCGGCUAACUCCGUGCCAGCAGCCGCGGUAAUAA
rnacentral:rRNA from 1 species